AAGUGUGUUUCUGGUCGACAUUUUCACCAGACAAGAAAAGAUUCUUCUCUUGAACCCUAAAUUACAAAGAAAUGCUCAAAUCGAAGGGGAAAUCAAGCUAAAAAUUGGGGAUUUUAUUAAAUUCGUGAUCACCAAGUCAUGAGGAUCACAAGUUUGACUCUUGACGAGCUAGGUGAAGCUUGGAGGAGAUGAUCAAACGGGAUAAAGACACAAGUAAGAUUUGCUUGGAUGAAAGGUAAGUAAAGCUUACACCUAUUUUUUUAGCAUACGUAUUUAUUCUAUAGGUGAUAAAUACAACAAUAGAUCAUGUUCGAAUUAUGGGUUCCGACACGAAACGAAAUGGGUUGGAACGAAUAAAAAUGUUUAAAAUCAUGAUUAAUGGUGAAAGAGGUAAAAUGGUAAUUUAGUCAUAAAUCGACUAAGAAUUUAUGAGUUUUCUUAAAGUUACCUCAUAGCUUAACUAAUAAUGGAAAAAGGGGUAAAAUGGUAAUUUAGUCACGUGAUGACUUAUUGUAAUCGAGAUUAAAAGGAUAUCCACGGCGUAAGCCGAACUGGGUCAA
rnacentral:lncRNA from 1 species